ACCUGCGGAAGGAUCAUUAUCGAGUUUUGAAUGGGUUGUCUGCUGGCUCGCAAGGGCAUGUGCACGCCUGUCUCAUCCACUCUCAACUUCUGUGCACUUUUCAUAGGCCGGCUUGUGGGUGCGUUUGCGCACUUGUAGGUGUCGGGCUUAUGCUUUACUACAAACGAUUCAGUUUUAGAAUGUCAUACUUUGCUAUAACGCAAUUAUAUACAACUUUCAGCAACGGAUCUCUUGGCUCUCGCAUCGAUGAAGAACGCAGCGAAAUGCGAUAAGUAAUGUGAAUUGCAGAAUUCAGUGAAUCAUCGAAUCUUUGAACGCACCUUGCGCUCCUUGGUAUUCCGAGGAGCAUGCCUGUUUGAGUCUCAUGGAAUUCUCAACCUUCAGCUUUAUUGAUGAAGGCUUGGACUUGGAGGUCGUGCCGGCUCUCGUAGUCGGCUCCUCUGAAAUGCAUUAGUGCGAACGUUACCAGCCGCUUCAGCGUGAUAAUUAUCUGCGUUGCUGUGGAGGGUAUUCUAGUGUUCACGCUUCUAACCGUCUUCGGACAAAUUUCUGAACUCUGAGCUCAAAUCAGGUAGGACUACCCGCUGAACUUAAGCAUAUCAAUAA
rnacentral:rRNA from 1 species